rnacentral:ribozyme from 1 species
UGUACCGCGACCAAGGGUUCAAGUUCCUUCAGGUGGUGCGUGACGGUCGAG